rnacentral:lncRNA from 1 species
UUAAAUAUAACAAUGCUUUUUGUUGUCUUUAUUAUAAUAUAUUCUUGAGACUCUUCUAUAUGAACUAAGCUGGAAUACUAUCAAUAGUACCAAAUUAUUAGUGCUAUUUAUUUUUUAGUUAUUGGAUUGAGAAAUGUGCGGUUUGUAUGAUAUGAGUCCUCUAGAAUUGAGGGAGUGGUUGGUUAAAUAGUAUAAUAUAACGGAUAAAAAUAAUUAAAGGGUUAAAUCUAACGGUGGAAAACUCGAUAGCACCAAGUCCUUGAUGCUAUUGAUAGUAUUACAGCUGAACUCCUUUUAUAUAUAUGCUUUUUUUUUUUUUU